rnacentral:rRNA from 1 species
AUUGAACGCUGGCGGCAGGCCUAACACAUGCAAGUCGAGCGAGAGGCGGACGGGUGAGUAAUGUCUGGGAAACUGCCUGAUGGAGGGGGAUAACUACUGGAAACGGUAGCUAAUACCGCAUACCAUCAGAUGUGCCCAAAUUGGAUUAGCUAGUAGGUGGGGUAAUGGCUCACCUAGGCGACGAUCCCUAGCUGGUCGGAGAGGAUGACGAGCCAAACUGGAACUGCGGCACUGUCCAGACUCCUACGGGGGGCAGCAGUGGGGAAUAUUUCACAAUGGGCGCAAGCCUGAUGCAGCCAUGCCGCGUGUAUGAAGAAGGCCUUCGGGUUGUAAAGCACUUUCAGCGUGGAGGCGUUACUCGCAGAAGAAGCACCGGCUAACUCCGUGCCAGCAGCCGCGGUAAUAC